rnacentral:miRNA from 1 species
UCUGGUUAAGAUUUGGUG